rnacentral:misc_RNA from 1 species
AAGUCGUAACAAGGUCUCCGUAGGUGAACCUGCGGAGGGAUCAUUACCGAAUUCGCCCGUCAGGGCAGAGUUCCCACCCGUGUAGAACAUACCUUUGUUGCUUUGGCAGGCCGCCGGGGCUCGCCCCGCUGCCGGCUCACGCUGGCAAGCGCCUGCCAGAGGACCUUCAAACCUGAAAUUUAGUGUUGUCUGAGUACUAUUUAAUAAGUUAAAACUUUCAACAACGGAUCUCUUGGUUCUG